UACGUAGGGUGCAAGCGUUGUCCGGAAUUAUUGGGCGUAAAGAGCUCGUAGGCGGCUUGUCACGUCGGAUGUGAAAGCCCGGGGCUUAACUCCGGGUCUGCAUUCGAUACGGGCUAGCUAGAGUGUGGUAGGGGAGAUCGGAAUUCCUGGUGUAGCGGUGAAAUGCGCAGAUAUCAGGAGGAACACCGGUGGCGAAGGCGGAUCUCUGGGCCAUUACUGACGCUGAGGAGCGAAAGCGUGGGGAGCGAACAGG
rnacentral:rRNA from 1 species